UUAGCUUGUUAUCAAUGCCUGUACCUCUUUAUGCAUAUGAAAAUGAGCCUGCCCAUGUUGAAUUCUGUGAACGGGAGUCUGAUGAAGAUGAUGAAUAUGAAAAUGUUGAGUUUUUUUUAUUGAAGAAGAUAUGGAUACAAAUGCUGAUGAUUACGAAUGGCUUGAACUGAAAAUGUAACUGUAUCAAAGGAGCAUAUUGAUAAGAAAAUAAAUUGUCGUGUGUGUUUAGAAGAUCUUUCUGAAACGGAGAAAGCGACAUGUUUGCCAUGCAGACAUUUUAUCAUGAGGAAUGUAUUCUUCAGUGGUUUAGAAUGAAUGGUGCUUGUCCCUUGUGCAGAAAAUCUGUGGCAGACCUCUGAAGUGGAAACUGAAACUGUUACAAUGUUUCGAACAAGACAUGCAUAUAUAAGAAUUGCUUUAGUUAUUGGUCAUAACUUUUCCAUGUUAUGAUGCAGAGAACCACCGCCAAUCCAUUGCAACUUACUUCUACCAAGUCAUCUUAUUACAAUAAUAAUGCAGUCUUAUCACUGUAAUGGAGCAGUUUUACUACAUCUAUAUGAGGUAAUUAUAAGUAAUGAAUUAAUUGCCUCUUGCACUAAAGUUGCA